rnacentral:rRNA from 1 species
GAUCUAACACUAGUGAUGGAGCAUGUGGUUUAAUGCGAUAAUCCGCGCAAAACCUUACCAAUUCUUGACAUAAUUAAAUAUUAUAUAAAUAAAUUUAUUGUUUAGAUGUAUAAAAUUUUAUUACAGGUGUUGCACGGCUGUCGUCAGAUCGUGUCGUGAGAUGUUUGGUUCAGUCCUGAAACGAUCGCAACUCUUAUUUUUAAAUUUGUUUUUAACGUAGUAAAAAUUUUAAUCAUUAAAAUUUUUUAGAUGCUUUAAAAAUACGGUCAAUGAUAAGUUGAAGGAAGGUAAGAAUUAAGUCAAGUCAAUGUGACCCUAAUGAAUUGGGCUACACAUGUGCUACAAUGGAAAUUACAAAAAGUAAACAAAAAGAAAUUUUGAGUUAAUCAAUAAAAAUUUUCCCAGUUCGGAUUGUAGAUUGCAACUCGUCUACAUCAAGUUGGAAUCACUAGUAAUCG